rnacentral:rRNA from 1 species
AGAUUGAACUGAAGAGUUUGAUCAUGGCUCAGAUUGAACGCUGGCGGCAGGCUUAACACAUGCAAGUCGAGCGGUAACAGAGAUAGCUUGCUAUCUGCUGACGAGCGG